GAUGAACGCUGGCGGCGUGCCUAAUACAUGCAAGUCGAGCGAACGGACGAGAAGCUUGCUUCUCUGAUGUUAGCGGCGGACGGGUGAGUAACACGUGGAUAACCUACCUAUAAGACUGGGAUAACUUCGGGAAACCGGAGCUAAUACCGGAUGACAUUUUGAACCGCAUGGUUCAAAAGUGAAAGACGGUCUUGCUGUCACUUAUAGAUGGAUCCGCGCUGCAUUAGCUAGUUGGUAAGGUAACGGCUUACCAAGGCAACGAUGCAUAGCCGACCUGAGAGGGUGAUCGGCCACACUGGAACUGAGACACGGUCCAGACUCCUACGGGAGGCAGCAGUAGGGAAUCUUCCGCAAUGGGCGAAAGCCUGACGGAGCAGCGCCGCGUGAGUGAUGAAGGUCUUCGGAUCGUAAAACUCUGUUAUUAGGGAAGAACAUAUGUGUAAGUAACUGUGCACAUCUUGACGGUACCUAAUCAGAAAGCCACGGCUAACUACGUG
rnacentral:rRNA from 1 species